AAAAUAUUAGUAGAGUAUUAAAAAAAUCUAAUCUACACAGCCACCUUCUAGGAAGGGUUUUGUCUGAAUUAGACCUCGAAUUAUUAUACUCAUACUGAUAGACAUUUAAAUUUAAUAGUUCAUGCUACCAAGGAAAUCUUUUUUUAAAUCAUUUAACAUUUCUCUACUAACAUGCUCUGGAAUUGGUUGAUUAACUAGUUC
rnacentral:lncRNA from 1 species